UUUCAUGGGAAUGUAUGGGGAACUUCAGUGCAAGGUAAAAAAGCCUCACAGACUGAAAUGAAGUGAAAAGAAAAUCAAUCCCUCCUAGCAAGUGCCUAGACAAUUGUUCAUCUAGGAGCUGGGCUGUACCUUCCUCAUGAUUUGGUGCUGGUGCUGCUUCUCUUCUACGUUAUCGCUGCAAAGAGUUGUCCUUCUGACUGUGUGAGCUCUCAGGGUCUCCAGGAGUCAAUUGUCCCAUCAGUGAGUCAAUGAUAAGAAGACUGGGAAGAGGCAGGAGAGAUUGUUUCUGUACCAACUUCUGAGCCUGCUCAGGGGAGAAGAGGCUCCAGACCCACAUGUGAGAAUAUGGAGUUACAGCAGAGAGCCGAAAGCCUGCAGCUCCAGCAGACAGCGCCGGACUUAAUGAGAAGGUGACCAUGCCCAACUGGCAACACAAGGUGGAAGAGACUUGGAAAGAGGAGAUGGUGCUGACACAAGGCUCACUGCCACAGCUGCCCUGCCAGCCUCCUUCGUGUCUGUAGCAGCAGCCAAGGCCCAGCACGGACAAAGCUCUUGUGCCUUCAGGACAGCGAUCCUUUCUUUUCUCUACACCAAAAGAAGCAGAAAAUAAGAGGAAUGUAUUUGUGCUGCAAAAGUAAUUGAAGUACCUUGGUAUUAAAGAAAACUGCUCUCUCCAGUCCUGUCAGAAGAGGGAAUAAUAAACCCUGCUACAACAAGCAGAUCUGUGGGGACCAAAAACUGUCUCCAUCUACUUCCAGAAAAUUUAGUGCGGUAAAUCCACUAGAGUUCACAGAAUAUAUACAUGAUUGCAGCAGGAGUUACAGUAGGUAUUAAAAAAGCCGAGGUAGAUAAUAUAUCUAAAAAUUGUAAUGCAAGAGACAGCUCAAAACUGUUGCAACCCUCAUACUGCAAUUGCAGCUGAUAGAGGAAGAACUUGCCCUUUGUCACAGCAACAAAUCCCGACAAAGGUAUGAUUGCCAGAUUUUCUUCUUUUAUAAAAGUGUGAUCAAUGCCAGCUAACUACCACAGCUGCAAAAGUUUCCAUGAGCUGCAUCUCCUCAGACAUUAUGGAGAAGAUGCAAUAUAGUAAAUAGCAAUUUGAGCAAAACACAGAUAACUGAGAAAAGCAUCUUUUAAAUGUUGAGUGGGCCAAGGGGAUGUUACUUAUUUUCUACUACUGUAUGUACACCUGCAAUCCAGUACUGCAUUCUGUAUAUCUAUAAUUCUUGUUCAGAAGCUCCACAAUCAUUGAUUAAUAGAAAAGUUUGGGUUGGAAGAGACCUUUCAGGGUGAUUAUCUACUACCACACAUAUGGUAAUCAAUUGACUUCCAGGCAUUCCUUUUGCUAAAAGUAAUGAAAAGAGAAUAGGAUGUGAAAAAAUAAUUUAAUUUAGUUUUAGAUUAACACUUCCAGCCCUGCAGCCAAACUCUGU